rnacentral:lncRNA from 1 species
AGCAAUGCAAGGUUGUUGUCGCAACCCUUGAGCAAUUAAACGAACUUGAAACAAACCGUUAAUCUUCUUUCUAACCUGGUAUACCGAGUGGCAACCAACAAUAUUAGCUCCUGGUGGUGACAAGACAAGCUGUAAAGUGCUAUUGGAAAGAAGAUCACCAAGCUUGAUUUUUCCAUGGCUUGCCUCCAUUGAGGGUUUUUAAUAGCUUGAGAAAUAGGAUUUGGGUCUAUCAAGUAAAUUAGAGGAGGUAGCAAUAGCAAGAAAACUAUCCUUGACUUUUGUUUAAGAUAUCCCAUGUAGUUUCAAAUGAGCCUGGAUGAGGAUCCACGACCAGAGAAUAGGAAGAAUGAUUAGUUGUCAUAGAAACUAGUGGAGGGAGGGGCAGUUUUUGUAUUGCAGUAAAAGUAGGAGACAAUAGUUUUUAGUUGAGACAAAUAACAUAGGUAAAGAGGAACAAGAAUUAGAGGACAUAUCUUGCAAUACUAUGGUUGUAGCAAAUAAUCAUAAACGUCAAAUAGCCUCAGGGAAAGAAGAGGUCUUGGAGGUAAUUGAUGAGCCAGUGGUGAGGACGAGAAUGGAA